rnacentral:rRNA from 1 species
GACGAACGCUGGCGGCGUGCCUAAUACAUGCAAGUCGAGCGGACCUCAUAGGAAGCUUGCUUUUUAUGAGGUUAGCGGCGGACGGGUGAGUAACACGUGGGUAACCUGCCCUAUAGACCGGGAUAACUCGCGGAAACGCGUGCUAAUACCGGAUAACACAGCGGAGCGCAUGCUCCGGUGUUGAAAGGUGGUUCUGCUACCGCUAUAGGAUGGGCCCGCGGCGCAUUAGCUAGUUGGUGGGGUAACGGCCUACCAAGGCGACGAUGCGUAGCCGACCUGAGAGGGUGAUCGGCCACACUGGGACUGAGACACGGCCCAGACUCCUACGGGAGGCAGCAGUAGGGAAUCUUCCACAAUGGGCGAAAGCCUGAUGGAGCAACGCCGCGUGAGCGAAGAAGGUCUUCGGAUCGUAAAGCUCUGUUGUAAGGGAAGAACAAGUGCGGUAGUAACUGACCGCACCCUGACGGUACCUUACGAGAAAGCCACGGCUAACUACGUGCCAGCAGCCGCGGUAAUACGUAGGUGGCGAGCGUUGUCCGGAAUUAUUGGGCGUAAAGCGCGCGCAGGCGGUCUCUUAAGUCUGAUGUGAAAGCCCCCGGCUCAACCGGGGAGGGUCAUUGGAAACUGGGAGACUUGAGUGCAGGAGAGGGAAGCGGAAUUCCAUGUGUAGCGGUGAAAUGCGUAGAGAUAUGGAGGAACACCAGUGGCGAAGGCGGCUUCCUGGCCUGUAACUGACGCUGAGGCGCGAAAGCGUGGGGAGCAAACAGGAUUAGAUACCCUGGUAGUCCACGCCGUAAACGAUGAGUGCUAGGUGUUAGGGGGCUUGCCCCUUAGUGCUGCAGCUAACGCAUUAAGCACUCCGCCUGGGGAGUACGGUCGCAAGACUGA